UACGUAGGUGCGAGCGUUGUCCGGAAUUACUGGGCGUAAAGGGCGCGUAGGCGGCUUAACAAGUCACUUGUGAAAUCUCCGGCUUAACUCGGAACGGCCAAGUGAAACUGUCAAGCUAGAGUGCAGAAGGGGCAAUCGGAAUUCUUGGUGUAGCGGUGAAAUGCGUAGAUAUCAAGAGGAACACCUGAGGUGAAGACGGGUUGCUGGGCUGACACUGACGCUGAGGCGCGAAAGCCAGGGAGCAAACGGG
rnacentral:rRNA from 1 species